AGAGUUUGAUCAUGGCUCAGGAUGAACGCUGGCGGCGUGCUUAACACAUGCAAGUCGAACGGACUUUUAUUGAAACCUGGUGAUAUGAAAGUUAGUGGCGGACGGGUGAGUAACGCGUGGGUAACCUGCCGUAUACAGGGGGAUAACACUUAGAAAUAGGUGCUAAAACCGCAUAAGCGCACAGCUUCGCAUGAAGCAGUGUGAAAAACUCCGGUGGUAUACGAUGGACCCGCAUCUGAUUAGCCAGUUGGCAGGGUAACGGCCUACCAAAGCGACGAUCAGUAGCCGGCCUGAGAGGGUGAACGGCCACAUUGGGACUGAGACACGGCCCAAACUCCUACGGGAGGCAGCAGUGGGGAAUAUUGCACAAUGGGGGAAACCCUGAUGCAGCGACGCCGCGUGAGUGAAGAAGUAUUUCGGUAUGUAAAGCUCUAUCAGCAGGGAAGAAAAUGACGGUACCUGAGAAAGAAGCCCCGGCUAACUACGUGCCAGCAGCCGCGGUAAUACGUAGGGGGCAAGCGUUAUCCGGAAUUACUGGGUGUAAAGGGAGCGUAGACGGUUGUGCAAGUCUGGAGUGAAAUGCGGGGGCUCAACCCCUGAGCUGCUUUGGAAACUGUGUAACUGGAGUGCAGGAGAGGUAAGUGGAAUUCCUAGUGUAGCGGUGAAAUGCGUAGAUAUUAGGAGGAACACCAGUGGCGAAGGCGGCUUACUGGACUGUAACUGACGUCGAGGCUCGAAAGCGUGGGGAGCAAACAGGAUUAGAUACCCUGGUAGUCCACGCCGUAAACGAUGAUUACCAG
rnacentral:rRNA from 1 species